rnacentral:lncRNA from 1 species
AAUUAUCGAGAUUUUGUAUGGCUGCUCUUUGGCAGCUGCUCACACAGGUUCAUAUCCUUCAGCUAUACCAUUGAAUUGUUUCAUUUUUUUUUCCUCCACAGAACAGAGGAUGCUGGCAAAAGACAAAGCAAGAAACAAUAACAUAGCGUUCAGCUCAGUGGAUUCGAUUCAGCCAGUUCUGGAACAGCAAGGCUCCAGUUACUGUUUGUCUUCCUGGCGUGCCAAGAAGGCCCACGAUGCAAGCAGAUGUGACUCGUCAGAACUUCUAGCCCGGCUCGCUGAAGAUGUUUUUUGCCUCAGGUUUCUCAUUAUUACC